AGAUUUUUAUAUUAAUUACGGUAUUGAUGGAGAUGGAGGCAAAAAAUAGAAGGCAUCUGAAAAUGAUGGCAAUAGUUCAUGAUAUGGGGAAUCCAAAUACAUUUGCAACAAGAAAACCCAUAGCCACACAUUUUAUUCAAGUACUCAUCAAAUGUUCUGCAUCCUCCCUGGUACUCUUGGAUCUGAAAAUGCCCCAAGGCAGAAGUCAACUCAUGAUAUUUUCUCCUGUUUUUAAUUGAAGUACUGGUGCCCAGGAGUACUGCAAAGUGUAGAUCACAGAUAUCAGAAUAGAUGGUGUUGCAGUAUCAGGACAGUGAAAGAGAUAAUGCAACAGAGACCCAGGAAUGCUAACUAUAGGAAUGGGAUACUGGCAUCUUAAACACUACUGGAGGAAGAGGAGCAGGAGAGGAAAGGGGGUGAAGAAAGAGCUGUGAGUGAAGCGGCCAUUUCCCCAUCUUCUGGACUCGCUGGGGAACUCGGCAAACCUGCUGCCUCUGG